UAGUGGAAAUGGGUGAAGUCGAAAGGCCUCUUUCCAUGGCGGUCUUUCCACUUCUACCCAUUUCCGCUA
rnacentral:pre_miRNA from 1 species